CACUCCUACGGGAGGCAGCAGUGGGGAAUAUUGGACAAUGGGCGCAAGCCUGAUCCAGCCAUGCCGCGUGAGUGAUGAAGGCCCUAGGGUUGUAAAGCUCUUUCACCGGUGAAGAUAAUGACGGUAACCGGAGAAGAAGCCCCGGCUAACUUCGUGCCAGCAGCCGCGGUAAUACGAAGGGGGCUAGCGUUGUUCGGAUUUACUGGGCGUAAAGCGCACGUAGGCGGACUAUUAAGUCAGGGGUGAAAUCCCGGGGCUCAACCCCGGAACUGCCUUUGAUACUGGUAGUCUUGAGUGCGAGAGAGGUGAGUGGAAUUCCGAGUGUAGAGGUGAAAUUCGUAGAUAUUCGGAGGAACACCAGUGGCGAAGGCGGCUCACUGGCUCGAUACUGACGCUGAGGUGCGAAAGCGUGGGGAGCAAACAGGAUUAGAAACCCGUGUAGUCCCAUG
rnacentral:rRNA from 1 species